GGCUGGAGGAUUCUGGGAGUUGUAGUCCACCACUUUCUCCCAACGCUGCUGUAAAGAGGAAGGGUUCCAUGCUCCAUGAAAUUAGAUUCAAAGACCUCAGAAAACACAAUGCUCUGCUAAACCAUGGGUUCGGGAUCGGAGUGUCUAGCUUCCAAAUGAGACGCAGACGGGUU
rnacentral:lncRNA from 11 species